rnacentral:lncRNA from 1 species
CUAAAAGUUUCAAAAUUAUUAUAUUUCUUUACGCGUUGCUAAAUUACGUUUUUAUUUUUAGUUUUAUGUUUUCUUUUCUUCAAUUCUAUACUUCGGUUUGAAGAAAAAGUUGAAUUCUGGUUUCUAGUCCUAUAAUUUUCUUUGGUUCCUUUCCAACUUUCUGUUAACUUCAAAUUUUAAAAACAAUGUUUCAAGAGGUUGUUUUGUUUCCAAAACUAAGAAUGUUUAAACCACAGUAAGUAAAUUGGAUGGAAACAAAAGCAUUAUGAAACCUGACAACCUUCUAGUACAGUGAUAAUUAAUACAUAACAUUAAAUGCAUUCACAUUGUUUAGCAUUGAGAAGAAGCUGAUUUCAUUUAUGUAAGAAGUUCACUGUUCAACAAAAGGAACCAAACUGAGAAUCCACUCAUCAGCAAAACAAAUGUUCUAUGGCUUUAUGUUCUAUCUGCUAAUGGUCAUCAUUUUUUUAACCUGUCACAACACAGAAUCAGAUCAUAUAGCCAUAGAAGCAAGCUCAGAAUUUAAUGAGAUAAACAAAGAAGCAAGCAGCUCGGAAUCUUCAGAACCAAUCAUCAACGAAGAAAAAAUGAACCGAAAAGGAAAUUACAUGAAAUGGCUUAAGAUCACUUUCUACAUCAUCAUCCUCCUUAUAGGACAAACAGUUGCAAAUCUCCUUGGAAGACUGUAUUUUGAAAAAGGAGGUCAUAGCAAAUGGAUUGGAACCUUAGUCCAAGUAGCAGGCUUCCCCAUCCUCCUUCCUUAUUAUUACUUCAUAGCAAAAACCAAACAUAAUACAAACACAAACAACAACAACAACAACAACAUUAUUUCAAAAUUAACAGAACAACCAAGAGUGUGGAAUUUGAUUAUGAUUUAUGUCUCAUUGGGGUUGUUUGUAGCAGUUGAUUGUUACCUAUUCUCCGUUGGUUUAAUGUACCUCCCUGUCUCAACUUUUUCCCUCAUUUGUUCCUCACAAAUAGCGUUCAAUGCCAUCUUCUCUUUCUUCCUCAACUCCCAAAAAUUCACUCCUGCGAUCAUCAUCUCUCUUGUUCUUCUCACCAUCUCCUCCACCCUCCUGUUUUUUGAAACAGAAUCAGAGGGAUCAGUCAAAAACAAGGAGUCUAAGGCUAAAAACAUGAUUGGUUUCGUUUGUACCAUAGUUGGAGCAGCAGGGUAUGGCCUACUCCUAUCUUUAACACAGUUGUUCUUCGACAAGAUGAUGAAAAGCGAGUCGUUCAAGGCGAUUGUGGACAUGAUUGUGUACCGGUCGUUGGUGGCUUGUGUAACGAUUGUUGUUGGGAUUUUUGUGAGUGGAGAGUGGAGGGAUUUGAAGAGGGAGAUGAAUGAGUUUGAACUGGGAAAAGUGUGUUAUUUUAUGACAUUGGUUUGGAAUACCCUUAUGUGGAAAAUUUUCACUGUUGGGUCUAUUGCUUUGAUAUUUGAGGUUUCUUCUCUGUUUUCCAAUGCUGUAGGUGUUCUGGGAUUGCCUAUCAUUCCUGUUGCGGCGGUGAUCGUCUUUCAUGAUAACAUGAGUAAGCUGAAAGUUGCUUCCAUGGCUUUAGCGAUUGGGGGUUUCAUUGCUUAUGUUUAUCAGCAGUAUGUUGAUGAUUUCAAGUCCAAGAAAGAUUCUAAAAGUUCAUUGUGAAGAAAUGUGGACAAAUUUCACAUCUUUUGUAGAAUUACAAAGCAUUUAAAAGUAUGUUAUAAAUAUUUGUUUUCAAUGUUCCAUGGAUCCGUAGGACAAAACAAGAUAUCAACUGAUCCUUGUUUUUAGUCCAAGGCUAAGAUUUUUUCUUCUUCCUGCUUUUAUACUAUCACACAUUAAAAGUUCUUUA